GAGACAGAGUCUGGCUCUGUCACCCAGGCUGGAGUGCAGUGGUGCAAUCUCGGCUCACUGCAACCUUUGCCUCCUGGUGUGGCUCAUGCCUGUAAUCCCAACACUUUUGGGAGGUCCAGGCAGGAGGAUCACUUGGGCCCAGGAGGUCAAGCCUGCAGCGAGCUGAGAUCACACCACUGCACUCCAGCCUGGGGUGAUAGAACAAGACCCUGUCUCAAAAAAAAAAAAAACAACAAAAACUUAGAAUUGAGGAGUUGUACCUCCAUUGGCUUCCUCACUCCAAAAUAGGUGCUGAUCCUUCCUAUUCCUAUUCUUUGCCACCUUUUGGGUGUGGUGUCACCAGCCUGUUUAGCCAAGUAGCUUUGGGCAUAGGCUGCCCAAUCUGAGCAAACACCAGUGAGGCUCUAUUGAGCCAAGACCAAGUCCUCAAAGCACCUGAACCACUGUGGCCUUCUCAGCCUACAGCAGUGUGGUCUCUUACAUGGCCACAAAGGGACACACAGUGACAAAAGGCUCGGAAUGUUACAAUGGUAAAAUGAGUGAUCUCAAAUCCACUGACAGAUAUAAAAUAGGCUUAGAGAGGAAAAGCUGCCUCUGGUCAAGUAGAUCAUGGCAGCAUGAAUUCCAACUCACUUUUUUACAACUCCAACUUCUAUGUUUAUCUUUGUUACUUUCACUUUUUUACAACCUGGCCAGAGGCAUUUUUUAAAUCAGGCCCAAUAUCAGUAUUCUUUUUGUGUGUGCCAAUUUUGUUAUCACAUCCCUAUGAAGUUGAAAAAUAAAGUUAAUUUUGAC
rnacentral:lncRNA from 1 species